rnacentral:rRNA from 1 species
GAAUCGCUAGUAAUCGCAGAUCAGCAAGCUGCGGUGAAUACGUUCCCGGGUCUUGUACACACCGCCCGUCAAACCAUGAAAGUGACCAACACCCGAAGUCCGAUUCGUCGGCCUAAGGUGGGGGGCAUGAUUGGGGUUAAGUCGUAACAAGGUAUCCGUACCGGAAGGUGCGGAUGGAUUACCUCCUUUCUAGGGAG